CCCUUCUGCAUUAAAAGAACUCUGCUAAAAUUGUGUGGUCCACGUUUCUCUGUUCCAUGCAAUAAUGCUAGCAGAGUAUUGCGCAGAAGGAGAUCAUGGUGCAGUGUGCUGCAAAUGAGACGUGGUCGAACCUCUUUCUUAAUGUUCCUUGACCUCUGUCUCAAAGCCCAGUGCCACAGCU